rnacentral:rRNA from 1 species
CCUGUGCUGGGGGAUAACCUCGCGAAAGUGAGAACAAUACCCCAUGGGUCACUAUGCCUGGAACGGUUAGUGGCUGAAAGCUCCGGCGGCACAGGAUGGGUCUGCGGCGUAUCAGGUCGUAGGGGGUGUAACGUACCUCCUAGCCUUCGACGCGUACGGGUUGUGAGAGCAAUUGCCCGGAGAUGGAUUCUGAGACACGAAUCCAGGCCCUACGGGGCGCAGCAGGCGCGAAAACUUGACAAUGCGAGAAAUCGUGAUCAGGGGACUCCAGUUGGCUGGAUCAAAAGUCCAGUCUGAACCGACUUUAAAUCGGUCGGGUAAUAGGGGCGGGAAAGACCGGUGCCAGCCGCCGCGGUAAUACCGGCGCCCCAAGUGGUCGUCACUAUUAUUGGGCCUAAAACGUCCGUAGCCGGUUUGGUAAAUCCGUGGGUAAAUCAGACAGCCCAACUGUCUGAAUUCUGCGGGGACUGCCAGACUUGAGACCGGGAGAGGUGCGGGGUACCUGCGGGGUACCGGUAAAAUGGGAUCAUCCCGUAGAGACCACCUGUUGCGAAGGCGCCGCACUAGAACGGAUCUGACGGUCAGGGACGAAGCCUAGGGGCACGAACCGGAUUAGAUACCCGGGUAGUCCUAGGUGUAAACGCUGUGGACUUGGUGUCGGGGACCUUCUGAGGGUUUCCGGUGCCGGAGUGAAGAUGUUAAGUCCACUGCCUGGGGAGUACGGUCGCAAGGCUGAAACUUAAAGGAAUUGGCGGGGGAGCACCGCAACGAGAGGAGCGUGCGGUUUAAU